CUACGGGGUGCUCCAGUGGGGAAUAUUGCACAAUGGGGGAAACCCUGAUGCAGCAACGCCGCGUGGAGGAUGACGCAUUUCGGUGUGUAAACUCCUUUUAUAUCCCAAGAUAAUGACGGUAGGAUAUGAAUAAGCACCGGCUAGAUCCGUGCCAGCAGCCGCGGUAAUACGGAGGGUGCAAGCGUUACUCGGAAUCACUGGGCGUAAAGGAUGCGUAGGCUGGAAAUCAAGUCAGGAGUGAAAUCCAACGGCUCAACCGUUGAACUGCUUCUGAAACUGGUUACCUAGAAUAUGGGAGAGGUAGAUGGAAUUAGUGGUGUAGGGGUAAAAUCCGUAGAGAUCACUAGGAAUACCGAUUGCGAAGGCGAUCUACUGGAACAUAAUUGACGCUGAGGCAUGAAAGCGUGGGGAGCAAACAGGAUUAGAUACCCCGGUAGUC
rnacentral:rRNA from 1 species